GAAAAGAAAAUAACAAUGAUUUCCCUAGUAACGGCGAGUGAAGAGGAAAGAGCUCAAAGUUGGAACCUGUUUGCCUUAGGUAAACCGGAUUGUAAACUGUAGAAACGUUUUCCUGGCAUGCCAGAUAAAUAAGUCCUUUGGAACAGGGCAUCAUAGAGGGUGAGAAUCCCGUCUUUGGUCUGAGCCUUUGUCUUUUGCGAUACGUUUUCAAAGAGUCAGGUUGUUUGGGAAUGCAGCCUAAAUUGGGUGGUAAAUCUCACCUAAAGCUAAAUAUUUGCGAGAGACCGAUAGCGAACAAGUACCGUGAGGGAAAGAUGAAAAGAACUUUGAAAAGAGAGUUAAACAGUAUGUGAAAUUGUUAAAAGGGAACCGUUUGGAGCCAGACUGGCUUGAUCGUUAUCAAUCUAGGCUUCGGCCUGGAUGCACUGGCGGUCUAUGCCUGCCAACAACAGUUUUUUUUGAAGGAAAAAACCUAGGGGAAUGUAGCCCUUCGGGGUGUUAUAGACCUUGGGAUAAUACUUUGGAAGAGACUGAGGAUCGCAGCGAAUGCUUUUGGCGAAGAGGUUGGGCGCUUUUUCUAAUGGAUGCUAGAAUUUCUGCUUCGGGUGGUGCUAGUGUUCUGCGGGAAAACUCGCUUAGUUUUCUUUCUAUUCGCUUAGGUUGUUGGCUUAAUGACUCUAAACG
rnacentral:rRNA from 1 species